UACGUAGGGUGCAAGCGUUGUCCGGAAUUAUUGGGCGUAAAGAGCUCGUAGGCGGUUUGUCGCGUCUGCUGUGAAAACUCGGGGCUCAACUCCGAGCUUGCAGUGGGUACGGGCAGACUAGAGUGCGGUAGGGGAGACUGGAAUUCCUGGUGUAGCGGUGGAAUGCGCAGAUAUCAGGAGGAACACCGGUGGCGAAGGCGGGCACCUGGGCCGACACUGACGCUGAGGCGCGAAAGCUAGGGGAGCAAACAGG
rnacentral:rRNA from 1 species